GGAGAAGAGGCUCUAAGUUUUUUUUUUUUUUUUUUUCAUUUUUUGGUUAUGUAAGAGGCUCUAAGUUAAAGAAAGGAACUCUGCACUAUUUCAUCACUGUCACUGUGUCAGAGGGAAUUCAAAAUACUCGCCAAUGCUAAGGCUCCCAUUUUUCUCCCCCCAUGGCCCACGGAACCAGGUGUCUGUGACAGGUGCAGGCAGUGAGGCUGAAGCAGCAAAGAUUGCACACUCGGUGGCAUCUUCUUCACUUGGGUGCUGUAUAAAGGCAGAGAUCCAAAUUGGGAGCGCAUUGCUGCUGCUGCAGGUUAUGCAGGGAUUUCUUUCCACCACAACAAGCUUCGAGUAUUGCUAGGAGACAUUCUGCUCAUGGAUGCUGGGGAACCACAACCGUUUGACCUGUAAUUCUAAGUCUUGACUUUUUAGAUAAAACCAAGAACUAGUUCAUUCAAACGAGCUGCAGCAAGUAACUAUCUGAGGAAGGCUGGUGAAACCCACAGUACAGUUGAAAUUCUUAUAUCAGUUGGUAAGCUUCUGAAGUACGCAUGAAGCGUAAAUAUGCUACUUUUGCUCUCUAUUGACAGUGAAUUUAAAAACCAAGUCUACUAAUGUUAGCUAGUUAAGGGAUCACACUCGCUUAGAGGGUGGGAUCGACAUAAUUUUGUAAAAAAUACCACCAAAAAAAAAAAUCUGCAAUUCGGCCUGCUAACUUUUCUUUGCACAAUGAAUACUAGUAUUAGUAUAGUAUGUUAGUCCAUAAACUAAAUCCAAACAGUUCAGUUAGGCUUACAUCCCUGCUUAUGCUGCAGAUUUGCUUGGUUGUUGAAGGGCUAGGAUAAAUGAAUUCUCUUCUAAAACAAUUUAAAUAGCUACUUCACUUUUUUGAAAACAAUGUGUCAUCUCUUAAAGUGAACAAGUCCGCUAGCUGAAUUUUGUAUUGCUUAUUGGGCUGCCAUCUUCAAAAAUUGAGAUUUACUCUAGUAUGUGGUUGACAACUCACGUUUCAUUACCCAACAGAUGAUGGCUCCAAAAGAAUAAAACAUUCUCACCAGCUGGUCUUGUUUUGAUGAGGUUAACUUUCCUAGUCUUGUGGCAUUGCAUUUGUCUUGCCUCAUAUCUUCUUCCAAACAGGUGAUGGCUUGGGAAGCGGGCAAGCAUGUGGAUGCGAUUUAAGUUGUGACUAUGUCAAAAUAAAUGCAGAAUACAUAACAUAGAAGAAUUCGUGUUGUGUCAUCUCAUAUUUCUUCUCUCUUCACAGGUUUUUUAAACAAUAAAGCCCACUUAUCACAUUUUGCUUCUUGGAUUAAUAUUUUAUCAUUGUUGUAUCUUACCGGUGACAAGGUUAGCAUGUGUUUUUCAAUGAAGAUCUGCUCAUGCAAAUCAUUUUUCUGCAAUCAACACAAGCUAUUCCUUGAUGUUGGAUUGAGAUAAAUUGAUAUUCUCUACUCAAUGUUACAAAUAUAUUUCAAAGCUCAAUCCUACUAUCAUAAGAAAUAAUUAAAAGUUUAACUGGAUAUAGCAUAGAAAUCGAAUAAAGGAGUCUGCAGUUAAAAACUCCUUCCCAUGAUAUAUUACAUGAUCAGCCUAAAACAUAUUUAGUAUUCAUGUGGCAUAAAGCCAACAAAUUUGUGGUAAGUUAGCAAUAGAAACAUAUUCCCGAUUCCAAACAACCCCUUAAAGCACAUUCCCACACCAAUAUUUAUCUUGAACAUGAAUCUCUACCUUGAAAAAGGAAAAGUAAUGCCUAAAUUCUAGCAGCACUCAAAGGUGUACAAUUGCAUUACAAGCUACAUCACAGAGGAGAUUCCUGGCCAAACAAGCGCAUCUCAAAAUGUUACUGUUGUGUGUCAAGAUGGAAGUUCAAGAUAAAACCGGAUCUUCCAAAUGACCUGUCUGUCACUUUCCCAGGGAAAUCCAUCGCUGUGAAUUUUCUGGGUUUUGAGGUUAGUGGCUCAGAUAUUAAAUGGAGCAGCCACAUGGACAGCUAUGAGUCAUUCAGGUUUGAAUUUUAAAGGGAGUGAUGGGUCAAGAUUACCUAAUGUGAUUGUUGUUUCAAGUGCUAUUCCUCAAGACAAUGUGGAGAUUUUGCAUGCAAAGUCUGCUGGAGUGCCUGUACACAAACAGGAUUAUUGGCUGGCAAGGCUAACGGGGUGCUACAAGCUUAUUGCUGUUAGUGGUAGCCAUGAUAAUCAUAUUAUAGGCUGCAGUUCAGUAGUUUAUACAGAUUGUAAUUUAUACAGACUUCUCUAAACUCUAGAAUUGAUGUUGUAACUUGUAGCUCAGUUAAUAUAGGACUUUUGAGUAGUUGCUCUCUGUUCUAUUACACCAUAAUAUAUGAUGUACUGCUGCUUGGUUAAUUUUUUGUGGAUCUAGAGCCAUAGAUUUUCUUUUGUACUGAAUCAACCAAGUUACGAAGAUUAGCUUAAAUAUUGCUUUUGUUUCCAUUGUAAUUGGAGACCAAGAUUGCACUUACGAAAAGUGUAAACAUUGGAACUAUCAUUAUUGUUUUAGAUUUUUUUUUUUAAUUGGUUAGUUUACACACACACCAAAUGGGUUUGUGAAUGUAAGUUUAAUCAAUCACUUUUAUUACAUAUUUAUAUUGAAUCUUCCUGUCUCAAUUAAGUGUUACUACUAGCUUGCUUAAAUUUCCAACAACAAACUUUCAAUACUGCAAAUAAGUUGAAUUAAGCAACUAGCAUGUUUUAUUUUGCUUGAGUAUGCUUCUGAUAGUGAGAUGUUUUUAACAAGAAAACAAGCUAGCAUGUUUUUUCUAUCCUAUUUAGUAAGUUACCACACUUAUUAAUCUAUGUUUUCCUUGAAAGGAGUAUGCACUUUAUUGUUUUUGCAGGCAAGAGUACAACAGCAAAUAUGCUGGCUUAUGUUUUGAAAGCAAUGGGCGAUGAUCUUACAGCAGUAAUUGGAGCACGUGUGCCACAGUUAUCCACUUUACUUUGAACUCUGCAGUAGAGCUGAAUUUUACACAGAUAGGUAUCUUUUAUUGUUUGGCCAUAUGCUCUGAUGAGUUCUCUUAAUGCUUUCUCCUUUUCUUUGAACAUUUGCAUUUGGUUCCAUUAGUCGAUUGGCUUGUUUUCUGUAGUUAAACACUUUUCAUGAUAUCACUAGACGCUGGAAAUAAUCAAAGCUAUCCUUUGUAGUUUCCAGAAGGAAAUAUUAUUUCAGGUAGUGGUCAAAAUUUUGUACUAGAGGUACCCUAUCCACUUUAUUUUCAUGAUGUCUAUGAAAUUGUUUGCUUAUUGUAUGAACAUUAACAUUGCAUAUAAGAAUGCUAACUCUAAUAAAGUUAUUGUAAGAAUGAUUUUUUUUUUCUUCUAUGAAUUGAUGAAGAAUUUUGUUUCACGGUUUCUGCCUGAAAAUAGCAAAAUUCAAAUUUCUCAUUUGUCAAAUAACAGAAUCUCUGUGUAAAGAUGAAGCAAUUUAUUAAUGAAAAAGGAUUGGUGUUUCAUCAUCAUUACUGGAUCCCACUCCACAUUCUGUAUGGACGGUACAGAUAUGAUCAGUGCAACUUUUUCUGUCUGUUUCUAGACUAUUGCAACUUUAUGCUCAUGCACUUUAUCUUCAGGGUAGGCUGAUGAAUAUGAUGGUUGUUUCUUGGGAUUAUCACCUAACAUAGCUGUAGUAAUCAAUCUGGACUGGGAGCAUGUUGACAUCUUUCAAGAUAAGGCAUGUUGAUUGAUAAGCUUUUUAUGCAUGGAAACUAAUAUUACAAGACUGUAUUUUCAUAGGCAUAGUUUAGAUUGAUUAAAUAUAUGCUCUCAACAUUAGGAAGCCAUUAAAUCUACUUUCAGGAGGUUCGUCAAUCUAAUCAAGGUGGGUGGACAUCUCAUAAUAUAUGGGGACAGGUAUCCAUUGCCCACUUGUCCUAUUAAGGAUAUAAUCUAUGGCACUAAGUUAGAACUUCUGGGGCAUUGAUAGUUUUAUUUCUAAUUUCUCCAUGCAAGUACAUAAUUCUUGUUUGUUUGUGAUAAGGCUUGAAUAGGGGUGUUUGGAAAACCAAGGAUUUGGUCCAGUUAACUCUUUAACUUUCAGUGCAAAAGGCCAAAAACCUCAAAUCAAGAUUUCUUUCCAAAUAUAUAAAUAAAACUAGUUACACAAUUCAUGGCUAACCCAAAUUUGUGCUAUGGUCUUAUAUAUAUAUAUAUAUAUAUAUAUAUAUAUGCAAUAACUAUUCAAAUUCCUCUCAAAUCUAAUUACCCAAUCAUAGAGGUUUAAGCUUACAGAAUUUUUGAGUUGAUAGUGUUCAUCUGUUCAGUCUAUAUGACAAGAGGGUGAAUGGUUUGCAGUAUCUAUUCAAAGUCAGCAAUUUACUAAGUCAAACAAAGAAAUUUUUUUGACAAAUACUAAUAAUUUUAUUUACAAAGGUCCAAUUCAUUUAAAGAUCAUUUUCGUUUAUCAGCAUGAGCAUCUAGUUAGAAUUUUUAAAUUCCUUGAGUAAUUAAGCAUAAGAAACAAGAAUGUAUGAAUGAUAAAUAACUAAACUUACACGUUGUUGCUUCACAUAGAUGGUAUGAGUCUCGGAUUGUGAUAUGACCUUUUUCAAAGAUUAAGGCCUGGCAUCUCACCACAAUAUCGUGAGUCCCAUUACCAUUACCUACUAUAAACUCAAGCUUUCCUCCCCAAAAUGCUUCCUCAUAUCUGUAUGCUGCAACACCAAUGCUGUAUAAGAAGUUCAUGAAUGCUGCUUAUAUGAUUUUAUCUAUUCUAGAUUCUGAUUCUGGAAUUUCCUUGAAAGGGACACAACAGUCCAGAUACACGUUCUUUGCUAAAUCACAGGAGACAAGCCACUGGGUCAGAGUAUUCCAGUAGUGUGAUGUUGGCUCCAAACUUGGAGCUAUUUGAUGAGCAUUACUGAAUAACUACUUAUGGAAUCUCAAGUCUUAAUGAUUGGCAUGCAUCCUCAAUUCGUCCCAACUAUCAUGGUGGCAGUGAUUACACACUGGUUGGUUAUAAUUUUAUUUCUACAUCUCUGGUUGCCCCUAAUGUAGACCCAACCUAUAGAAAGCUAAAGCACAUACAUAUUGAAGCUUCUUUGGCCUUUGGAAAAGGAUUUUCCAAAUUUGUGAUACAAAUUUUGGCAGGUAGUGAACCAAAGAAUCUAUAGAGCUAACAAAAAUUACAUAAAUCCAGAAAUUCCUCCAAGGAGUAGGCAGCCAUCCAAUCGUACAACAGUUUCGAGAAAAACGGCUCCAGCUCUAGCAAUGAGUGUUCAAUCCCUCUGCCAGAAUGCCAUCCAAAUUCAGAAAUUCAUGCCUUUUAACUGAUUACAUGGGUUUUCUAAAAGUGAAAUUUCUAAGACAUAAUACAUUCAUCAAAUCUAAUUUAGUACUUGAUUAUCUGCAGUUCCAUUGGGAGUUUCCAGAGGUAGAUAUCAGUCUACAGAUUCCUGGUUUCAGAAUGUCCUCAAUUCAUUAACAACGUUUUGAGAUGAUUGGUACAAUUUGUGGAUGCCAUAUAUAUGAUGAUGCACACCAUACAACAGAAAUCUGUGCAGUUCUUCAAGCAGCACGUCAAAGAUUCCCAUUCAAGGCUACAUGGGUGGUAUUCCAAGUUUCCAACCUCAUUUUUACAGACGUCUAGAAGAAUUGAAAGAUGAAUUUGCCACUGCACUCGGUGAUGCAGAUCAUGUUGUGGUUACAGCGGUUUAUGCUGCCAGAGAGUGGUUUUUGGGAUGUUGGUGGAAGUGAUUUAGCUGCUUCUAUUAAUGGCACACCAUGUGAAUAUAUCUCUUCUCUGGAGACUGUAGUUGAUGAGUUGGUGGUUCAGAUAUCCAAGGACCUUAAUCGCCAAAUUGUUGUUUUGACCCGAAUUGCCUCUUCUACUUUGGCAAGAAAUGACUUGUGAUUCUGUGACUGACUGUCCUUGUGUGACUUCCGUUUGAUUCUUCUAUGCAAAGAUGAAACUGGUGGCCGGUUACGUUAUUGGUAAUGGGAGUUUCUUCUAUAUACAUGGAUGGAUAUGGAACUAUCAAGAAGAAAGCUGAUGACACCGCAACUGCUAAUUGCGUUCCAUGUAAUGAAUUUGCAUUUCCAACUUGUGCUGUACUAUGUUCCCAUUUAAGGAAAACGGAAAGAAAAGAAAUAAAUGUUUUGUUGUAUUGUGAGGAACUGAAAAACAGAGUUCUUUUCAAGGCUAUUAGUGAUAAGCUGGACAUUUCAAGAAAAAUGCAGCAUCAUUUAUCGUUAAAAGAAUUCAAGAAAAUACUUGUAAUAAUAAGGAACUCCUCAAACAACUCCAAUUUAUAUGCUACUAUCUUAUCGUAUCUUACGUGAA